GCGCUCGCUUUAGCAGCACAUAUACUAAAAAUGAUACAGAAAAGAUUAGCUUGGUCCCUACACAAGGACGACACUAAAAUAUUACAUAUUAUAAUUUA
ensembl:snRNA U6 U6 spliceosomal RNA